rnacentral:other from 2 species
AAUUUACUGGGGUGUACGAUUACUUGUUAUUUUGAACCUACAACUUAAAAUCGGGAGACGCAUAAGCGAUGAAUGAUGUCAGGCCGCAAGCUAAUUCCCUUUGGGCAGCGGAAGACAGAUAUUCUGACUGAGUCACCCACCUAGCGUAGCUAGGGCGUCAAAAUUGCAGGGACGGCAUUCUGGGGAUUAU